CUUAACGCAGUCAAUCUCAUAGUAUGACUACAGCGUACCAUGUUCAUUUUACAAAACAGCCAGAUUAAACUGAAACACUUUUGCAGCUCUCUUUGACAUGCGCACUAGUAGACGGGCUGUUAUUAUCGAGUAUUUGUGUAAUGAUAACAUUGAGAGUUGAUUUUCAUUUACGUACCCUCGUCCAUACAACCUGUCCCUAUCUAUAGCGUUACACACAGGCAUCCGGGGCCCCUGACAACCCUUAUCACUGUGCUAAACUCACUCACUAAUUUCUGGCUACCCGUAUAAUAAAAGACAACGUUAAUUUAAUUUUCAUAAUUCAUGCGAACAAAGAGGACAUUCUGUGUGGCUAUGAGGUAAAUCCGCAGCGUUUAAUUUAAAGUGCCGUGUGACAGGUACGGAGCCAGGUAAACACAUAGACUGUUGUUACCUAUACGGGCGUGAGUACAGGUGAGGUCUAAUUUAGCAAUGCAUAUGGGUACAACAGCAGAUCUGGGCGUUGGUGACGAAAACUCCCAGUAACAUAAACGGCAAAUAAUGAAAACGUAACCAAGCAAGGACGUCAGGACAAGAUGGGGUCCGGGAAGUCCAAGGUCAAGGCCAAGGCCAGGCCAGCCACGCCGGACUACAAACAAGUCCCGUCCAUCCUAAGUGAGUACCCUCUUCCAAAGGUCCCUGAAUCCCACAGGAGGGAUAUUGUCAAACCAGAACGCCUCAAGAGAGUCUCCCGGACU